rnacentral:rRNA from 1 species
AGGCAGCAGUGAGGAAUAUUGGUCAAUGGGAGAGAUCCUGAACCAGCCAAGCCGCGUGAGGGAAGACGGCCCUAUGGGUUGUAAACCUCUUUUGUCGGAGAACAAAACCCGGGACGAGUCCCGGACUGCGUGUAUCCGAAGAAAAAGCAUCGGCUAACUCCGUGCC